rnacentral:rRNA from 1 species
AGAGUUGAUCAUGGCUCGAGAACGAACGCUGGCGGCGCGUUUAAGCAUGCAAGUCGAGCGGCAAGGGCCUUCGGGCCCCUAGAGCGGCGGACGGGUGAGUAACACGUGGACAAUCUGCCCCCCGGCCCGGGAUAGCCCAGGGAAACCUGGAUUAAUACCGGAUGAGACGGGACCCGCGAUGGCGGGACCCGGGAAAGGCGCUGCGGCGCCGCCGGGGGAUGAGUCUGCGUCCCAUUAGCUGGACGGCGGGGUAACGGCCCACCGUGGCGACGAUGGGUAGCCGGCCUGAGAGGGUGGACGGCCACAUUGGAACUGAGACACGGUCCAGACUCCUACGGGAGGCAGCAGCUAAGAAUCUUCCGCAAUGGGCGAAAGCCUGACGGAGCCGACGCCGCGUGAACGAAGAAGGCCGUGAGGUUGUAAAGUUCUUUUCGGGAGGGGGAACAACCGUGGCAGGGAAUGGCCGCGGGAUGACGUGAAUCCCGGAAUAAGCCCCGGCUAACUACGUGCCAGCAGCCGC